GGUCACUUUAUAUAAUCCUGCUGCUCGCAGGGUGCAAGAGCGGGAAAAGUGCGGAGUAGGGAAUUCUUUUGCUGCGCUGCCUCCUACGCCGAGCCUGCUUUCCACUUCUGAAAAGUGCCGGGCCUUGGGAAGUGUUUUUCUUUUCAUUCCUUACCGAAGCGUUUACUGCCGCCGUGGUCGCAGUCAUAAAUUUUGCUACAAACCACAAUUUAAGUGACCCUCCUGCCUUAGCCUCCCAAGUAGCUGGGAAUAUAGGCCAUAUGUAUAUGUGAACUAGGUAAUGUUCCUCAUUUGUCUACCUGAUGA
rnacentral:lncRNA from 1 species